rnacentral:tRNA from 1 species
GGGGAUGUAGCUCAGUGGUAGAGGGAAUGCUCAGUGGUAGAAUGCAUGCUCAGCAUGCAUGGGGUCCCGGGUUCAAUCCCCAGCAACUCCA